ensembl:lncRNA
CUUAAUAUCUGGUUUCCUGGAAAAGAAAGAGAAAAUGGCAAAACAGACAGCCUUUCUGUUUUUAGCUUGCCCCAUGUUGUCAGAAUAGCAUGAUACCUGUAUGAGCUUAAGCACAUUCCUUUCUUUGCCUCAAUUUAUUUGCAAUGGAAGAAUGUCUUUCCUUUUAAACAGCUUCACAUGUUUUGGUAUAUUCUGUUGACUAUUUAUUCUAAUAAUAAAAAAGCAUUCAUGUUCUGUAAGUGCCCUUGCAAAUAAUACAAUUUUGUUACCAAGUGCAUUGCCUUGUCUUCUGAUAUUUGAUGCAAAUGAUCUCUCAGAGUGAAAAUUAGGCAGAAGAACCUUUUCAGAGUAUUUUGUUCAUCUCCACUUUUUUCAGAAAUGCAUUAGUUUGAAAUAUUUUGCAGGCAAAAUACAAUGUUGUUUUUAUGGGAGAAAAAUGAUCUACAAGAAAAUAGGUAGAGCUACUUAUUGUUGCAAUAGUUUGAUGUUAAUAGCUAUGCUUUAUUUGACAUUUAUAGAUAGUAGACUGUAAACUGCUGUAAGUACUCUAGAUGUCUUUCACAAUGCCUGGUCAGGUCAAACUUGGAGCUGAACAAUAGAAAUGAUUUUUGAAAGAUGGUGUCUUAGGAGAGACCAUGGACAGCUUGGAAAUUUCAGUUGCCUUGGGAGCAGUGAUACCUCAGAUGCUCUCUCCCUCCCAGAACACCAGUGGCUGCAGUGGACUGGGAAAGCCCCUUGGCGGUUGCUGCUGCCCCUGCUUCACAUUGUCUGUGUUGUCUGCGGGGGCUUGUCAGUGCCUUCUCCUCCCUCUCCAACAAAGGCCCCAGGGAGCGGCUCCCAACAGCAGCUCCAAGAUGCUGUGAUAUCAGUUAACCAUUUAAUCAAUAUAAUUAAAGGAGGUUAAAAAUAAUUUUUCAAUGAUAUUUACAGUCCUAAUAUGAAAAUAAUUCUUAUACUCAGCACAUGUGAAUUGAGCAUGGUUCUGAGAUAGCAAACCCCUUUGCUGAAAGGAGUACUUCUGGGGGACAAGGAGAGGGACUUCUGGUGGCAAAGGUCAGGGAUUAGGAAGUGGGACUUCUUGUCCCAAGAACCAGGGGGUGGGGCACCUGCCAAGGGGUGGGGCUACCCUUGCAGCCCUCGAUGGCUUGCCAAAACUCUAGAAGUGGCCCCCCACCCAAAAUAAUUGCCUGCCCCUAGUCUAGCUUUAUCCUCUUUGGAGCCACUCUUCAAGUAGUUGAAGAUUGCUAUUAAAUUCUCUCACAGUCUUCUCUUUUGCAGACUAACUAAACCUAGUUCCCUCAGCCUCUUCUCAGAAGUCAUGUGUCCCAGGCCCCAAACAUUUUUGUUGGCCUCCACUGGACUCUCUCCAAUUUGUCUACAUCCUUUCUACAGUGGGUGGUCCAAAACCAGACAGUAGGGCUGUGUGAAGCUUUGGUCCCUGAUUUGAUUUGGUGAAGAUUUGUCCCGAUUCAGUGGCCCAAUCUUGAAAUCCAAAUUGCAUCAGAGGACCCUUUGAUCUCUCCAAAUUGAAUUGGAACCCUCUGAAUCAAUUUGGAGAGAUUUGGAAAGAUUUGGCGAGUCAGACAUAGAAACAAUGCUGGGAUGCAUGGAGUGUCCCAUAGGCGCGCGGGGGGCUCCCCAGUGCACUUGGCAGCAGACCCAGAAGUGGACCAGAAGCACUUCCAGUCCACUUCUGAGUCCACUGAGGAGAGUGCAGAGAGGCCCCCCAUUCCCCUCUGGCUUGGUGACUGGUGCCUCCUGGGUUUGUGGGGUCAUCUGGGGUCCCCCCAUGGCUGAUCACAAAGCCAGGGGGAUAUGAGGAGGCCCCCAGCACGCUCCCCCAGCAGACCUGGGGAAGUACUUCCAAUCCACUUCCAGGUUCACUGCCAAGCACAUGGGCAUUG